rnacentral:rRNA from 1 species
GACGAACGCUGGCGGCGUGCUUAACACAUGCAAGUCGAACGGAAAGGCCCUGCUUUUGUGGGGUGCUCGAGUGGCGAACGGGUGAGUAACACGUGAGUAACCUGCCCUUGACUUUGGGAUAACUUCAGGAAACUGGGGCUAAUACCGGAUAGGAGCUCCUGCUGCAUGGUGGGGGUUGGAAAGUUUCGGCGGUUGGGGAUGGACUCGCGGCUUAUCAGCUUGUUGGUGGGGUAGUGGCUUACCAAGGCUUUGACGGGUAGCCGGCCUGAGAGGGUGACCGGCCACAUUGGGACUGAGAUACGGCCCAGACUCCUACGGGAGGCAGCAGUAGGGAAUAUUGCACAAUGGGCGGAAGCCUGAUGCAGCAACGCCGCGUGCGGGAUGACGGCCUUCGGGUUGUAAACCGCUUUCGCCUGCGACGAAGCGUGAGUGACGGUAAUGGGUAAAGAAGCACCGGCUAACUACGUG